UACGUAGGGGGCUAGCGUUAUCCGGAAUUACUGGGCGUAAAGGGUGCGUAGGUGGUUUCUUAAGUCAGAGGUGAAAGGCUACGGCUCAACCGUAGUAAGCCUUUGAAACUGGGAAACUUGAGUGCAGGAGAGGAGAGUGGAAUUCCUAGUGUAGCGGUGAAAUGCGUAGAUAUUAGGAGGAACACCAGUUGCGAAGGCGGCUCUCUGGACAGUAACUGACACUGAGGCACGAAAGCGUGGGGAGCAAACAGG
rnacentral:rRNA from 1 species